GAUGAACGCUGGCGGCGUGCCUAAUACAUGCAAGUCGAGCGAACAGAUGAGGAGCUUGCUCCUCUGACGUUAGCGGCUGACGGGUGAGUAACAAGUGGAUAACCUACCUAUAUGACUGGGAUAACUUCGGGAAACCGGAGCUAAUACCGGAUAAUAUAUUGAACCGCAUGGUUCAAUAGUGAAAGACGGUUUUGCUGUCACUUAUAGAUGGAUCCGCGCCGCAUUAGCUAGUUGGUAAGGUAACGGCUUACCAAGGCAACGAUGCGUAGCCGACCUGAGAGGGUGAUCGGCCACACUGGAACUGAGACACGGUCCAGACUCCUACGGGAGGCAGCAGUAGGGAAUCUUCCGCAAUGGGCGAAAGCCUGACGGGGCAACGCCGCGUGAGUGAUGAAGGUCUUCGGAUCGUAAAACUCUGUUAUUAGGGAAGAACAAAUGUGUAAGUAACUAUGCACGUCUUGACGGUACCUAAUCAGAAAGCCACGGCUAACUACGUG
rnacentral:rRNA from 1 species